rnacentral:rRNA from 1 species
AUUGAACGCUGGCGGCAGGCCUAACACAUGCAAGUCGAGCGGCAGCGGAAAGUAGCUUGCUACUUUGCCGGCGAGCGGCGGACGGGUGAGUAAUGUCUGGGAAACUGCCUGAUGGAGGGGGAUAACUACUGGAAACGGUAGCUAAUACCGCAUAACGUCGCAAGACCAAAGAGGGGGACCUUCGGGCCUCUUGCCAUCAGAUGUGCCCAGAUGGGAUUAGCUAGUAGGUGGGGUAACGGCUCACCUAGGCGACGAUCCCUAGCUGGUCUGAGAGGAUGAACAGCCACACUGGAACUGAGACACGGUUCAGACUCCUACGGGAGGCAGCAGUGGGGAAUAUUGCACAAUGGGCGCAAGCCUGAGGCAGCCAUGCCGCGUGUAUGAAGAAGGCCUUAGGGUUGUAAAGUACUUUCAGCGGGGAGGAAGGUGUUGAGGUUAAUAACCUCAGCAAUUGACGUUACCCGCAGAAGAAGCACCGGCUAACUCCGUGCCAGCCGCCGCGGUAA